GACGAACCGUGCGGACGUUGUUCGGAAUCAUUGGGCUUAACGGGCGCGUAGGCGGGUCGGCAAGUCAGGGGUGAAAGCCCGCGGCUCAACCGCGGAAGGGCCUUUGAUACUGCCGGUCUCGAGGGAGGCAGGGGAGCGCGGAACUUCCGGUGGAGCGGUGAAAUGCGUAGAUAUCGGAAGGAACGCCGGUGGCGAAAGCGGCGCUCUGGUCCUCUUCUGACGCUGAGGCGCGAAAGCCAGGGGAGCAAACGGG
rnacentral:rRNA from 1 species